rnacentral:rRNA from 1 species
UUGGAAACGACUGCUAAUACUCUAUACUCCUGCUUAACACAAGUUGAGUAGGGAAAGUUUUUCGGUGUAGGAUGAGACUAUAUAGUAUCAGCUAGUUGGUAAGGUAAUGGCUUACCAAGGCUAUGACGCUUAACUGGUCUGAGAGGAUGAUCAGUCACACUGGAACUGAGACACGGUCCAGACUCCUACGGGAGGCAGCAGUAGGGAAUAUUGCGCAAUGGGGGAAACCCUGACGCAGCAACGCCGCGUGGAGGAUGACACUUUUCGGAGCGUAAACUCCUUUUCUUAGGGAAGAAUUCUGACGGUACCUAAGGAAUAAGCACCGGCUAACUCCGUGCCAGCAGCCGCGGUAAUACGGAGGGUGCAAGCGUUACUCGGAAUCACUGGGCGUAAAGGGCGCGUAGGCGGAUUAUCAAGUCUCUUGUGAAAUCUAAUGGCUUAACCAUUAAACUGCUUGGGAAACUGAUAGUCUAGAGUGAGGGAGAGGCAGAUGGAAUUGGUGGUGUAGGGGUAAAAUCCGUAGAUAUCACCAAGAAUACCCAUUGCGAAGGCGAUCUGCUGGAACUCAACUGACGCUAAGGCGCGAAAGCGUGGGGAGCAAACAGGAUUAGAUACCCUGGUAGUCCACGCCCUAAACGAUGUACACUAGUUGUUGGGGUGCUAGUCAUCUCAGUAAUGCAGCUAACGCAUUAAGUGUACCGCCUGGGGAGUACGGUCGCAAGAUUAAAACUCAAAGGAAUAGACGGGGACCCGCACAAGCGGUGGAGCAUGUGGUUUAAUUCGAAGAUACGCGAAGAACCUUACCUGGGCUUGAUAUCCUAAGAACCUUUUAGAGAUAAGAGGGUGCUAGCUUGCUAGAACUUAGAGACAGGUGCUGCACGGCUGUCGUCAGCUCGUGUCGUGAGAUGUUGGGUUAAGUCCCGCAACGAGCGCAACCCACGUAUUUAGUUGCUAACGGUUCGGCCGAGCACUCUAAAUAGACUGCCUUCGUAAGGAGGAGGAAGGUGUGGACGACGUCAAGUCAUCAUGGCCCUUAUGCCCAGGGCGACACACGUGCUACAAUGGCAUAUACAAUGAGACGCAAUACCGCGAGGUGGAGCAAAUCUAUAAAAUAUGUCCCAGUUCGGAUUGUUCUCUGCAACUCGAGAGCAUGAAGCCGGAAUCGCUAGUAAUCGUAGAUCAGCCAUGCUACGGUGAAUACGUUCCCGGGUCUUGUACUCACCGCCCGUCACACCAUGGGAGUUGAUUUCACUCGAAGCCGGAAUACUAAACUAGUUACCGUCCACAGUGGAAUCAGCGACUGGGGUGAAGUCGUAACAAGGUAACCGUAGGAGAACCUGCGGUUGGAUCACCUCCUUU